UCUUUUAGAUUUUAUUUAAAGUUUAACCUGCCCUAUGAUAUUUAAAUGGCCGCAGUAUAUUAACUGUGCGAAGGUAGCAUAAUCAUUUGUUUGUUAAUUGCAUACUAGUAUGAAUGGUUUGACGAGAAAAAGACUUUCUUUAUUUUAUUUUAAAUAACUUUAUUUUUUUGUUAAAAAGCAAAAAUGUUUUUAUUAGACGAUAAGACCCUAUAAAGCUUUAUUAAAUAUUAAAAAAUAAAUAUUUUAGAUAGUUUAAUAUCUUUAUUUACUAUUUAAUUUUGUUGGGGGGACAGGUAAAUUUAAUUAACUUUAUUUAUUUUAAUCGUUAAUUAACGUGUUUUUUGAUCCAUUUAUAAUGGGAAUAAGAUUAAGUUACUUUAGGGAUAACAGCGUUAUUUUGUUGGAGAGUUCAUAUUAAUAAUAAAGUUUGCGACCUCGAUGUUGGAUUAAAAUAAGUAUUUGGUGUAGGUGCUGCAUUACUAGGUCUGUUCGACCUUUAAUUUUUUACGUGAUCUGAGU
rnacentral:rRNA from 1 species